rnacentral:rRNA from 1 species
AUCCCAGGUGCUGUAAGCAU